AACGAACGCUGGCGGCGUGGAUAAGACAUGCAAGUCGAACGGAACUACUUUUAGUAGCAAUACCGAGAGUAGUUUAGUGGCGAACGGGUGCGUAACACGUGGGCAAUCUGCCGAGAAGUGGGGGAUAGCUCGCCGAAAGGCGAAUUAAUACCGCAUGUGAUGAGAGGCGACACCGUCUUGAAAUCAAAGCCGGGGCAACCUGGCGCUUUUUGAGGAGCCCGCGGCCUAUCAGCUUGUUGGUGAGGUAACGGCUCACCAAGGCUUUGACGGGUAGCUGGUCUGAGAGGACGACCAGUCACACUGGAACUGAGACACGGUCCAGACACCUACGGGUGGCAGCAGUCGAGAAUUUUUCUCAAUGGGGAAACCCUGAAGGAGCGACGCCGCGUGGAGGAUGAAGG
rnacentral:rRNA from 1 species